GACGAACGCUGGCGGCGUGCUUAACACAUGCAAGUCGAACGGUAAGGCCCUUCGGGGUACACGAGUGGCGAACGGGUGAGUAACACGUGGGUGAUCUGCCCUGCACUUCGGGAUAAGCCUGGGAAACUGGGUCUAAUACCGGAUAGGACCACUGCCUGCAUGGGUGGGGGUGGAAAGCUUUUGCGGUGUGGGAUGGGCCCGCGGCCUAUCAGCUUGUUGGUGGGGUGAUGGCCUACCAAGGCGACGACGGGUAGCCGGCCUGAGAGGGUGACCGGCCACACUGGGACUGAGAUACGGCCCAGACGCCUACGGGAGGCAGCAGUGGGGAAUAUAGCACAAUGGGCGCAAGCCUGAUGCAGCGACGCCGCGUGAGGGAUGACGGCCUUCGGGUUGUAAACCUCUUUCAGUAGGGACGAAGCGCAAGUGACGGUACCUACAGAAGAAGGACCGGCCAACUACGUGCCAGCCGCCGCGGUAA
rnacentral:rRNA from 1 species